rnacentral:rRNA from 1 species
AUUGAACGCUGGCGGCAUGCCUUACACAUGCAAGUCGAACGGCAGCACGGGGCAACCUGGUGGCGAGUGGCGAACGGGUGAGUAAUGCAUCGGAACGUACCUUUCAGUGGGGGAUAACGUAGCGAAAGUUACGCUAAUACCGCAUAUUCUGUGAGCAGGAAAGCAGGGGAUCGCAAGACCUUGCGCUGAUUGAGCGGCCGAUGUCAGAUUAGCUAGUUGGUGAGGUAAAGGCUCACCAAGGCGACGAUCUGUAGCGGGUCUGAGAGGAUGAUCCGCCAAACUGGAACUGAGACACGGUCCAGACUGCUAGGGGAGGCAGCAGUGGGGAAUUUUGGACAAUGGGGGCAACCCUGAUCCAGCCAUGCCGCGUGAGUGAAGAAGGCCUUCGGGUUGUAAAGCUCUUUCGGCCGGGAAAAAAUCGCAUGGGUUAAUACCCUGUGUGGAUGAUGGUACCGGAAUAAGAAGCACCCGCUAACUACGUGCCAGCCGCCGCCGUAAGAC